GAUGAACGCUGGCGGCGUGCCUAAUACAUGCAAGUCGAACGCUGAAGGAGGAGCUUGCUCUUCUGGAUGAGUUGCGAACGGGUGAGUAACGCGUAGGUAACCUGCCUGGUAGCGGGGGAUAACUAUUGGAAACGAUAGCUAAUACCGCAUGACAACAGUUAUUGCAUGAUAACUGUUUAAAAGGGGCAACUGCUCCACUACCAGAUGGACCUGCGUUGUAUUAGCUAGUUGGUGAGGUAACGGCUCACCAAGGCGACGAUACAUAGCCGACCUGGGAGGGUGAACGGCCACACUGGGACGGAAACAGGGCCCAGACUCCUACGGGAGGCAGCAGUAGGGAAACUUCGGCAAUGGACGGAAGACUGACCGGGCAACGCCGCGUGAGUGAAGAAGGGUGUCGGGUCGUAAAGCUCGGUUGUAGGGGAAGAACGAGUGUGAGAGUGGAAAGUUCACACUGUGACGGUAUCUUACCAGAAAGGGACGGCUAACUACGUG
rnacentral:rRNA from 1 species